rnacentral:rRNA from 1 species
AACGAACGCUGGCGGCAGGCCUAACACAUGCAAGUCGAACGGGAUCUUCGGAUCUAGUGGCGGACGGGUGAGUAACGCGUGGGCACGUGCCCUUUGGUUCGGAAUAGCCCUGGGAAACUGGGAGUAAUACCGGAUGAGCCCGUCGGGGGAAAGAUUUAUCGCCAAAGGAUCGGCCCGCGUUGGAUUAGGUAGUUGGUGGGGUAAUGGCCUACCAAGCCGACGAUCCAUAGCUGGUUUGAGAGGAUGAUCAGCCACACUGGGACUGAGACACGGCCCAGACUCCUACGGGAGGCAGCAGUGGGGAAUCUUAGACAAUGGGGGAAACCCUGAUCUAGCCAUGCCGCGUGAGCGAUGAAGGCCUUAGGGUUGUAAAGCUCUUUCGUGGGGGAAGAUAAUGACUGUACCCCAAGAAGAAGCCCCGGCUAACUCCGUGCCAGCCGCCGCGGUAAAAC